UGUCUGCAGCCUGGCUGGAGGGGGAAGGAGGAGACGAGAAACCAAUGUGACAAUAAAGGCCACACAGCCCUCUUGCCUCCCCAAGGAACACCUGCAGCUGCCUCUGCUUAGAAGACAGCACCUGCUGCUUCUCUUUGCUGCUGCCACCAGCACCACAUAGGAACAUCCCAGAAUGCGCUGUGGGAACUGGCACAAGGAAUAGGAGAAAGCUACUAUGGCCUUUGAAAAGAGUAUUGUUCCAAUGCCUUUCCCAGAGACCUCUCUCAGGCUUGUGGGCAGAGAAAAAAGAUUAUCAAAGUAGGCUAAUCAUGGUGGCUUAUGUGGAUUGGAGAACUUCUCAGCAGAAAUGCUCUUGGACGUUGGAGAAGUGGGGUAGAAGUGAAGAACCUACAGGCACUCUCAUUCCGAAGUCUGGGAGGAGGCUGAGCUGAAGAUGCUCUUGGUGGUGUCCUCCCUGAGCUCUGUGUGUAUGUGUGUGUAAAAGAAGAAGAGCUUAGUAACAGCCUUCCCCACUCCAUGAUCUUGAAAAGGAGCCUAGAAAUAAUAUUGAGGAUAAGA